GUUCACCUCACAAUCCCUCGUUCAUAUUCUCACAACCGAAUUCAUACUUCUUUACUAGUGUGAUGGCCUGUGCCCCUGGACACACUCGCGUCACGCGAGUGUAAACUCUGUGAACACCUGCUCAACACGUGCACAGGAUUGUAUACCGAUAAAAACGCCGGUGGUAAAUUCACCCGUUUCAAACUAAUUCAAAUCCACUCCCCAUUUCAGGCACUCUGAUGUACGUUUUAAGCAAUAACAGUGUACAACUUUCUCAUUAUUAUUAUUAUUAUUGUUUAAAACAUGAAGCAGGCGUGCGCAAUACAAUGUUAAAAUGUCUGCGUGGUUUUACACGGCUGUAAUAUUCCGUGACGCUAACAACUGUUAUUAAUCGUUAUGCCACGGAAUGGUUGAAUUCUUCUCAUAUUUGGUUGGACAGAAGGUACGCAUGAUUUAUUUUUUUUUUUAUUACCACAAGUACAGGUUCGUAUUAAUGCGCUCGUUCUAAUACGUUAGUGUUUCUAUAGCGACAGCUCGUGCACGGGGAUCGUAUAGUGGACACGCCACAUAAUCAAAGAUGAAUAAUAAAUGAAUUUGAUAAAAUGUGUGAUAGUUUAACAACGAAAUUCAUCUAAUGAGUCAGCACGUUUACAUGGGCAACAAUAAUCCGAUAUGAACCCGAUUAAGACGAUACUCUGAUUAAGAAGCUACCAUGUAAACAGCGAUUAUUGAUGACCUUAAUCCGACUAAAGUCAUACUCGAAGUAAACACAAAUGGAAUUAAGACGUGUGGAGUAUUCCUGUUUUAGUCGCGUUAUUGAGGUGUAUUACAGACACGUACACACCUUAAUCACACUGUUAACAUCGUGUAGAGUUUUCACCACAUUGUGUGACAGGACACGUACACACACGGCAGCGCUCAACCGUUUAACGGUAAACAAGAGAGCACGGCUGCGUCCCAAACCCCGUACUUACCUACUAUAUAGUAGGUAAAUACACGUAUCUCGGCUACUAUAUAGUAGGUAAAUACACGUAUCUCGGCUACUAUAUAGUAGGUAAGUACACGUAUCUCGGCUACUAUAUAGUAGGUAAGUACACGUAUCUCGGCUACUAUAUAGUAGGUAAGUACACGUAUCUCGGCUACUAUAUAGUAGGUAAGUACACGUAUCUCGGCUACUAUAUAGUAGGUAAGUACACGUAUCUCGGCUACUAUAUAGUAGGUAAGUACGCGGUUUGGGACGCAGCCCACAGCUUCAAGCAGUCGUCUAUUUGCACGUACAGCAUGACAAAUAAUUAACCGCACUUGAAGCGUCCGUAGAAUUUAAAAUGAAACACCCGAAACUGUAUACGGGACCAUAACGAAGACCGACUGUAUGUGGACGUGAAAUUCUGGAGGGAACGGUGUGGCGUGGGGACGUAAUGACGUGUGAUUUUAAUCGCUCCAUGAUCUAUAGCAUGUAAAACCUGAACAUGGAAGGAGUAUUCUAAACGCGACUCAUGUAAACACCUUAAUCACAAUAUAGUCUUACUCAGAGUAAGGUCAGUAAUUAGAUCACCGCUGUCCAUGUAAACAGAGCGUCGGGUGUCGGAGCUUCGUAACAGUCACAGUGCUUUCUGUAGUUUCUCAUCACAGGAAAGUCUUCCGGAGAGUGGAUUUUCCACUUUCCACUUAGUUUUGUAAAAUGCCAUCCUUUUUUAAAAAUUUUUUUUAGUCCUAUUAACUCUGUCCAUACAGGAUUUCACAGAGUUUAUUAAUAUUUUUUUGUGAUCGUUGCAGCCAAAAAUGCUUGAUUUUGCUGCGGGUUUUUUCAAAAUUUGUGAUACAGUUUGCAGAGUUUUUGUGCUUUUUUUUUGUGUGGAAAACUAUUGAAUUGCACGAAAUUGCCUUUCACAGUGAUGGUUAUUGGGUAAAUGAGACCUUUUAGCUGUAAUAAUGUUCAAUGCAUGUGACUUGAAAAGGGUUCUGGCUGAAUGCGCGUUGUGAUGACGUCGCACCUUCACCCAAAUCUGCAGAAAAUCUGUUGUAAUUUUGAAAAAUUGCAAGCUCCUAAAAAUAUUAUGGAGUUUCCUUGGGUUUGUGUAAAUUUCAGCGAUCGCAAAAUCCCGGCGUGACCGAUGAACUGUUUAUUGUUGUUGUUGUUGUUGUUGUUGUUGUUGUUAUUGCUGCGUUUGACUAGCUUUGGGAGUGGGAGGCUGGAACUGGGAAUGACGUCAUUUUGGACGAGUUCCUGAGAAGGAGUUCUUGUCUCAUUAACUAUAAACUGCUGAAAACCUGACGUGUUGUUGUUUUUUAAGAAAUGAAACAUUGUCCACGGCGACACAUCAGUAUUUAUGUAUGCAUAAUAUGACCUGAAGCGUAGCAUACAAUCCCGGAGUGCAUCACGCCAUCCCGGAGUAUAAUAUUUUCAUAUAAUGGCGGAGUCCAUUGUGUGCUAUUGCUUACAUAAGUGCUAAAUUGACCAUGCAACUGUAAGUGUAUGUAUGUAACAUGUAUGACGGUUUCAUUUGAAUAUGUAUUUUUCCCUCUGUGAUGUGCCAAGGAUGCGCCGUCACCUUGUUUUGAACUCAUCUUUUGUGACUAUAAUUGCAGGAAGAAAAUUCGAGUCUGUUGGCAUGACUGUCCCGACUGACGUUAACACGUACUCACUUGGAAAAAACAAAAACCCCUAAGCUCUGAGGAGAAUCCACUAGUUUGGUAUGGAAAUCCGUCUGCAUGCCAGUGUAGACUCCCUGUCCACUUUAAGAGGAACACGUGUACACCUGCUCAUUCGUGCAGUUAUCUAAUCAGCCAAUCAUGCAGCAGCAGCACAGUGUGGAGAAUCAAACAGAACAAGCACUUCAGGUAAUGUUCACGAUGGGGAAAAUUUAACCGUGGCAUGGUGGGUUUUUUUUCUUUUUUUUUUUUCUUUUUCUUGCCAGGGCUGGUAUGAGUAUUUCAGGUAUUUCUCUAGGGUCUACACAGAAUGGUGCAAAAAACAAAAAGCACAGAGCGAGCGACAGUUCUGUGGGUGGAAACGCCUGGUUGAUGAGAGAGGUCGGAGAAAAAUGACCAGACUGGUUCAAGCUGCCUGGAAGGAUAUAAUGACUCAUAUAGUCACUCUUUACAACCAUGGUGAUCGGAAAAGCAUCUCAGCAUGCACAAAACACUGCGUUCCUCUCCUAUCAGCCAAGAACAGGAACCUGAGGCUAUCAGGAGUGGAACCUGAUGUGGUCUUGUGCUGUUGUAGCUCAUCCACCUCACGGUUUGGUGUGUUCUGAGAUGCUUUUCUGUUCACCGUGGUUGCAAAGAGUGCUUAUUUGAGUUACUCUAGAAUUCCCGUCAACUCGGACCAUUCUCUCUCAUCAUCAGGGUGUUUCUUCCUGCAGACGCUCCACUCGCCGGAGACUGCUGUAUGGGAAAAUCCCAGGAGAUCAGCAGUUUCUGAAAUACUCAAACCAGCCCAUCUGGCAACCAGAGAACCAUGCCGUGGAUAAAGUCACAGAGAUCACAUUUUUUUCUUCGUUUUGAUGUUUGACGUGAACAUUUAAGUGAAACUCUCGACCUGUAUUUCUGAAAUUUUUGCUACCGAGCAAAAAAAACAAAACUCCACUCCACUCUUUAGAUCACAUGUGAGAAAUAUAAUGCUGUAAGAUUUUGUGUAAAUAGCCCAACUGGGUCAGUCACGAUUGUUGUUUCCUAGCCCAGAAUAAUUGCAGCUGAAUUUAGCGCCCCCCGUCCGUCCUAACCAUCGUUCGAGCGCUAGGUCUGAGAUUAAGGAUGAGUAGUAAUGUAGUUUAUCCGAUGCUGCGGUGAAUCUCAUCUCGAGCGUGUCUCUUUCUAAAAAAGAAGGGAAGGAGAGAAUAAAAAGACCUUGCAGAAUUUGUGUAUUCUAUUUUAAAAAGUACAUUAUGUCUGAGAAGUCAGGCUGCAUGGUGUAACCGGAGCCAGGACUUUCUGCUGAAGCGAAGGGCGGGAGCGUAGAACGAAACAGUCGAAAAUAGGCACAGUCGAGCAAAGUGUAGGAGGAGAGGGUUAGCAGUCGCACUGCUGGGAGAGACAGUCUUUCUUUAUCUCUCUCUGUGUUUCUCUCUCUAUCUAUCUAUGUCUCUGUAUCUCUCUCUAUAUAUCUAUCUCUGUGUAUCUCUAUCUAUCUCUUGCACACAGUAUGGCGUGGAGUGCAGCAGUAAUGGCAAGUGUGUAAUUUUACACGUGACUAACACGGGAAGUGGAAAUACAUGUGUAACUGUACAUCAUAUUGUCAGUGUAUUCCUUCCUUCCCUCCCUCCGAGGAGAAUACACGAGAUCACGUUAUACUCUGCAGCUAUCAUUAUUGGAAGUUGUGUGAUGUUUGAUCAGGAAUUUAAUUCGUAAUUCUGCCAAACGCCCAUUCUAACUAGGGAUGAGUGAUAUCUUAUCGUUUGCGAUAUACCGGUAGAAAUUCUCCCUGCAGUAAGAAUUAGUCUACGCACGAUAAUAACGAUGAAGCCCAGUCGAUGAGGUAUUGGUGUGCGAGACCCGUUCGCAGCUCACGUGCAGAGCGAACAGGAGUAUGGCGGAAGGUGGACGUGAAGCCGAGGAGGAGUUUAUCGCUAAACG
ensembl:lncRNA